rnacentral:lncRNA from 1 species
CACAUACACCUAUCCUGUGUGUGAGUCCCUUAUUUGCACAUACCUCCUUUCACACUUCCCUUCAAGCCAACUCAUUUUUUGUUCCAUAGACUUUGUUAUUCCCUAUUUCUCUUUAAUUGAGCUGGUGGUCAUCUUCCUCUUAAGUGUGAUCAGCUGGGAACACAGUACUCUGCAGUCAGUUGGUAUAUGCCAUUCACAUCUAUUAUUCACACUCAUGUUACCCCUGAUCAGCAGUUGUCAUCCAGACAUCUCUGCCAAGGCUGGGCUGUGAGAGCACCCCCAAAAUUGCCUCAUCUUAAGAGAAAACAUGAGAGCAGGUCAGCUUAAAUUCUUAUGGACCCCUUCAUCCAGUU